rnacentral:lncRNA from 1 species
UGAGGGAUUCCUUAAGAUCCCUCUUCAAGCAGUCAUAUUAUCAAUAGAGGCACCACCCAAAUUUCCUUUAAUCCAAUUAGGGAGAGGGGACGCCACACCACUUUCUUUACUAAUUUAGGGGCAUGAGGAUCAAUAUUGAGCCUGAAAGCUUUCAACACAAUAAAGUCCAUCAUCGAAACAUGAGAAUGAGGAUUUAAGAAUCACAUCGAAAGGGCAACCUAGGAGAAAAUAAUGGCAGUAGUACU